rnacentral:rRNA from 1 species
AUUGAACGCUGGCGGCAGGCCUAACACAUGCAAGUCGAGCGGAUGAAGGGAGCUUGCUCCUGGAUUCAGCGGCGGACGGGUGAGUAAUGCCUAGGAAUCUGCCUGGUAGUGGGGGAUAACGUCCGGAAACGGGCGCUAAUACCGCAUACGUCCUGAGGGAGAAAGUGGGGGAUCUUCGGACCUCACGCUAUCAGAUGAGCCCAGGUCGGAUUAGCUAGUUGGUGGGGUAAAGGCCUACCAAGGCGACGAUCCGUAACUGGUCUGAGAGGAUGAUCAGUCACACUGGAACUGGGACACGGUCCAGACUCCUACGGGAGGCAGCAGUGGGGAAUAUUGGACAAUGGGCGAAAGCCUGAUCCAGCCAUGCCGCGUGUGUGAAGAAGGUCUUCGGAUUGUAAAGCACUUUAAGUUGGGAGGAAGGGCAGUAAGUUAAUACCUUGCUGUUUUGACGUUACCAACAGAAUAAGCACCGGCUAACUUCGUG